CAAAAAAUCCACCAGCACAAUAGAAAAUACGCGUUUCAUUUUCUCAAAAGCGCUGAAUCCCUCUCUACCCUGGGAACUCCACCUCCUUUGCAAAUGUGCUAACACCACCAAGUGUACACCACCAUGUGCAAGUGUGUUAGCAUUUUCACAAAUAUUUUCCCAAAUGAGUUAGGUUAGCACUUUACUAGAUCCUAAUGCAUAUGCUCAAGAUAUGGACCUAUAGUAGCACUUGAUUCGAGAGAUGACCGUGAUUUCUCCUCUUGAUAGUUGGCUAUCGAACCUAAAACCGGUCAAUCACUUCUCUACUCAUCAUAGACCGACAAAAGCAAAACCCUAUGUUUAUACCUUUGCCUUGAUCACUUAACUCCUUGUAUAUCAUCAUGAUCUCCACUUUAUGCUUCAUCUCAUUGUAAUCAUGUGGCCACCUUUCCAUGCCACCUUUCACCUUCAUCAUAUGUGUUGCUAUGCCUAACUCAAAUCACUUAAACACAAGACAUUAGCAACUUGGUGUCAUUAAUUACCAAAACCAAACUUGGGCUUUCAACUACUGGUUACAUAUCCUCAGAAAGGUCCCUUAAAAUUUUCCAAAAACAGAAGACCCUCUAACUUUUUUGUACCAAAUAGCAAGAGGCUCGGAGCUACACUUGGUGAGUGCGUUGUUUCCAAAACAAAAAACACACAUCACCCAAGAAAAUUCCGGAAGGAUCACUCUAAGGUUUCUCUCAAAAACAACUUGGACAAAACUUGUUCCUUUCAGUCAAGACCAGAAGGAACAAAGACAACUUUUAAAAUCGACCAUGGAACACUCGGGGGCUUGUCGGUACGGGAUCCCCAGGGUUCCUCACCAGCAGGUUACGGGAAGGUGGGCCUGGGCCUGGCUCAUGGUUCUAGAAGGAAACAAAGCAAAGCGUGUCUCCGACUCCAAGUAUAUAUAAUCAAGGUGGACUAGGCGGAUUCUUGUAGGAAGUACCUUCUGUAUUAGAAACGGAACACUAUCUAUGAAUCUGUCUAGGAUAAGAAGUCACUCCUCAGCCUUCUCUACAGAUAUAAAGAGAGGCUAAGGGCACCCCAUGUAACAACGAAUAAUACAAUACACGCAAUACAACGCAAAGGCUAACGCCAACUAGAUAUAAAGGCUAUUACUCAAGAUCGAACUCGAGGGCCCGAAUCAGGAUAAAUCGACUAUCCCUUGCAUUAACCAUCAAGUUUCAGCAUAUGUCGAAGCCCGAACAACUUUCCCGAAUACCCCCGUGGUAGGCUAUCGGUGGUAAAACAUUGACACUCACUACAGAGGAUUUCAGGUGAAGCUGUAUGCUACUAAGAGGGUAUCACCUAACUCACUGCCGCUAACUGUGGUUAGUAGACCUUGUGUUCAUACCUAUGAAGCAAAGGAGAGUUUCCUGUUAAAUACCUUUUCAUCCAUGCAAUUUGUGGAUACAAAAUUGGUGACCUACACUUCACCGAGUUCAUGAUACGACAUAGUCAACUAUAUAAUUCAAUGUAGACAAGUUGUGCUUGUAUCAACUUGGUGUGUAGUUGAACUUUGGGAGUACAUGGAGUCUUGGACAUGCAUCUAGUUGGUAAUGACUUGUUUUAAAUUGUGAUGGUUUAAUUGUAUGAAUUUGGUGAAUGCGGAUGAUCAUUGUAAUAUAAAUCUAAGCUUUUCAUUAGUUUUGUUAUUAUUGAUGGAUGAUAUAUACAAUAAUAUAACAUAUCUAAUACUGCAAAAGAAAAGAAAAAGAAAAAAACAGAACACAGAAUAUUUAGUCUUAGUUGGUUACUAGGUAGCGUACCCGUGCGUUGCUACGGGAUAACUAAUAUUUUAUACUUAAAACAUACAGAUCGCACAAUAAGAUAAUAAUAUUAUAGAAAUUAAAUACCAAUAUUAAAAUAAUAUUUAAUUUAAAAAAUAAAGUUUAUAAAAUUAAUACAGUCAUAGAGACUGCGGCAUCGCAAACUCAUAAACUAUACUCCCUCCAUCCCAA
rnacentral:lncRNA from 1 species